UUCGUCAGACGUUCAUUCCCUUGGUUAGCUAGCGUUUACUGAGUAGUUACUUUUAUUUAUUAUUUACAUGUAAUAAAAUAUUUUCAAGUUUAGUUCACAUGUGUUGGUUGGUGAUCAUCAAUCAACUCUAGUCAACAGGAUGUGAGUCGAGAUGAUCAUGAGAAAUAGGAAACUAGAUGUAAGACAAGUGCUCGUGAUGGAGAAUUUUGAAGUUAGGUUGAGUGCAGAAAUUCUGUGAAUCAAAAUAACCAUGCAAGUUUAUCAGGGAUCUAGACAUUGAAAAAAAACAACUUUGACACAUAGAAGAUACAAAUAGAAGCGGUGCUCAUAGAAAAUGACGUGUGGGAUUUGGUGAACGGAAGAAAAGUGAAACCGAGCCACGAUGAUGCCAGAGAAACUGGCGAUAGUGAAGUGAAAUUCAAUAUAAUUUUCUUGGUAAAUCCGUUGGAAAUAAAACAAGUCAAAGGAUGUAGUAGCUCCUGCGAAGCAUAGCUAAUGUUGGAUAGCAUAUAUCAAUCUCAGGCAACAGCUCAGAAAGGCAUUCUGUUAAAACAACACGUCUUGUAAUAGAUGCAAAAUUAUGGCAAUGUACGCGAACAUGUACGUAAAUUCUUUGAUACAGUUGAUAAGCUAAACGAAAUAGAAGUUCUCCGAAAAAGGCGAAACCGGAGAAGAGUAGGUUGCGCAAUCGGGAGGAUUUCAAAUUUAGAUGUCAUCGAUGCAGAGAAAAAGGUCACCUACAAAGCCAAUGAAUGCAAGAAAAGACGGAAAGAGCCAAUCGCUUGCGAACAGCCAUAAACUGUAUUGAACUGCGCGCGAAUGAAGAUUUUUCGGAUACGAAAACAGCGAAUCGAGCGGAAAGUAUACGCUGCAAUAAUGUUUAGUGUUUGGACAGCAUAACGAACAUCGAAUUUAACUACCAGUGCGUCGUUUGAAAUUGUCGAGAGAUGAAAGGUAUCAUUCGCUGUCGAUGUUCAAGGAGAGAAGAAAAAUAUGACCUUGAAAAAUACGUUGGAAGAUGAUAAAGUUGCCGUUUACGAAUAGUUCGGUAAGAAAAGACGAGAUAUUCGACUUGAUACACUCGAAUCCUUGCGGUUCGAUGAAGAUUCCAUCUGUUGGAAAGGCCAAGUACUUUAUCACAUUUAUCGACGAUAAGUCAUGAUGUGAGGUAAGCUUUUUCAAACAUAAAAGUGAGGCUUCUGACACUUUUAGGAUUUUAAGGUUAUGGUAGAGAACCAGAAGGAGAGAAGAAUAAAAUAUCACCGAUCGGACAAUGGUACCGUUUUAAUUGAAACCUCCUGCCUAGAAUAUCCUGGAGAUUUCGUUAGUACUAUCGGCAAUUGUCUAUAACAUGAGCGUGCCAAGUGCACGAUUUCUUUUUGUACUGUGUGCAGUAAAAGCGAUAUAUUUUUCUUGUUGUAAUCUCUAUUAUAUUAAAGCGAUUUACAAUAGUUUUAAUCAUCAGGUGUAGUAUACUUGAACAAGGAAUUCGAGCAAUCUCCAAAACAAUAGGGGAUUCCUGCGAAGACUUGCCGUUUUGAGCGAAAGCGAUUUCAGCUGCGAAUUACAUAUGCAAUUGCUGCCCAAGCAGAAAAAGAAAAUUUGAGGAACAUACCAAACAAGGAAUACUUUCGUGCUAUUCAUGCCCGUGGGAUACAGGGUCUGGAACCAGGAAGAGAGAAAGAUAAUAGCGUCAAGAGACAUCUCGUUUUUGGAAACUUUUAAAGAUUAUGCCCUGAAAGAAGUCAAACGUUGAAGCUGCGCUUGAAAAUGACGAGGCUGAAAGUGAAAAGAUGUAGUUGUUGAGAAAUGUUAGAACUCGACCACGUGUUAAUUGGCCAAGUGUAUUCUGUGUGUUAAGACGUGUUGUACGAGGCGGAGAAAUAUAUGGAGAAAAUCAAAUCUGUGUGAAUCGAUUAAUUAUCAACCCCAAACCCAGAUCAAUUAACAGUAGUAUGAGUCGAGACUCCGGUCUCUUUAACCAGUUGGAGGAAAAGGCCAAAAAAUAUAAUACCAGGAGCCAUGUACUACCACCAUAUGCGCGGAAUUUGAAGUCGCCAACUUUAAGUAGACUAUUAGGUUAGCUAGUGUUACUUAUUAAGUAGGCUAUUGCAAGGGAAUUAGGUCGUGCAAAACAUGUUCAAUCCGGAUCGUACUUUGGAGCUCGACUGGUGGCUCGAAGAUUUGCCGAAUGUCUCGGGGUCCACUUUAACGAGACUUUUCCACCAGUAACUCUUAUGACCUCUAUGCGCCAUGUUUUGGCCAUAACGGCUAGAAACGGAAUGCACACCGUUUAUGGAUUACACACUGUUUCUGGAUUACACACCGUUGUGUGUCGUAUCUCACUUUCUCGCACUCGUCUGCAUCAAAGUUCACACUCAUUCUUCACACCAAUCACGCACUAACUGAUUCGGCGGGUCGUUCGGAAUUUUUCUCUCAGUAAUAUAGAAAAAUCUUUUCACUUUC